CUGAUUGAACGUGCUUGCACGGACUUGACGUUGGUUUACCAGCGAGUGGCGGACGGGUGAGUAACACGUAGGUAACCUGCCCCAAAGCGGGGGAUAACAUUUGGAAACAGAUGCUAAUACCGCAUAACAAUUUGAAUCGCAUGAUUCAAAUUUAAAAGAUGGCUUCGGCUAUCACUUUGGGAUGGACCUGCGGCGCAUUAGCUUGUUGGUAGGGUAACGGCCUACCAAGGCUGUGAUGCGUAGCCGAGUUGAGAGACUGAUCGGCCACAAUGGAACUGAGACACGGUCCAUACUCCUACGGGAGGCAGCAGUAGGGAAUCUUCCACAAUGGGCGCAAGCCUGAUGGAGCAACACCGCGUGAGUGAAGAAGGGUUUCGGCUCGUAAAGCUCUGUUGUUAGAGAAGAACGUGCGUGAGAGCAACUGUUCACGCAGUGACGGUAUCUAACCAGAAAGUCACGGCUAACUACGUGCCAGCAGCCGCGGUAAUACGUAGGUGGCAAGCGUUAUCCGGAUUUAUUGGGCGUAAAGCGAGCGCAGGCGGUUUGAUAAGUCUGAUGUGAAAGCCUUUGGCUUAACCAAAGAAGUGCAUCGGAAACUGUCAGACUUGAGUGCAGAAGAGGACAGUGGAACUCCAUGGGUAAACCGG
rnacentral:rRNA from 1 species